GUUUAAGUAGUUUAAUUUAGAAUUUUAAUUUGUGGAGUUAGGGGAGUCUUGUGCCUUAAACA
rnacentral:tRNA from 1 species